GUGAGGAAUUUUCCGCAAUGGGCGAAAGCCUGACGGAGCAAUGCCGCGUGAAGGAUGAAGGCCUAUGGGUUGUAAACUUCUUUUCUCAGAAAAGAAUUAUGACGGUAUCUGAGGAAUAAGCAUCGGCUAACUCUGUGCCAGCAGCCGCGGUAAGACAGAGGAUGCAAGCGUUAUCCGGAAUGAUUGGGCGUAAAGCGUCUGUAGGUUGUUUAAAAAGUAUUCUGUCAAAGAUUAGGGCUUAACCCUAGAUAGGCAGAAUAAACUUUUAAGCUAGAGUUUGGUAGAGGCAGAGGGAAUUCCCGGUGGAGCGGUGAAAUGCGUAGAUAUCGGGAGGAACACCGAAGGCGAAGGCACUCUGCUGGGCCAAUACUAACACUGAGAGACGAAAGCGAGGGGAGCAAAUGGGAUUAGAUACCCGUGUAGUCC
rnacentral:rRNA from 1 species